GUGAGGAAUAUUGGUCAAUGGACGCAAGUCUGAACCAGCCAAGUAGCGUGCAGGAUGACGGCCCUCCGGGUUGUAAACUGCUUUUAGUUGGGAAUAAAAGGGGGCUCGUGAGCCCCGUAUUGUAUGUACCAUCAGAAAAAGGACCGGCUAAUUCCGUGCCAGCAGCCGCGGUAAUACGGAAGGUCCGGGCGUUAUCCGGAUUUAUUGGGUUUAAAGGGAGCGUAGGCCGGCUUUUAAGUCAGCUGUGAAAGUCCGCGGCUCAACCGUGGAAUUGCAGUUGAAACUGGAGGCCUUGAGUGCACACAGGGAUGCCGGAAUUCAUGGUGUAGCGGUGAAAUGCUUAGAUAUCAUGAAGAACUCCGAUCGCGAAGGCAAGUGUCCGGGGUGCAACUGACGCUGAGGCUCGAAAGUGCGGGUAUCAAACAGGAUUAGAAACCCGAGUAGUCC
rnacentral:rRNA from 1 species